rnacentral:pre_miRNA from 1 species
AGUGGGAUUGUUGGGUCAUAUGGUAAGUGUAUGUUUAACUUUAUAAGAAACUGCCAAGCAGUUUUCUACAGUAUCUGUACCAUGUUGCAUUCCCACCAGCAAU